GGUAGCCUGUACCGAUCGUCCUGGUCGCCGUUUCAUCGUAUUAAUCCCUGUGUAACAAUUUCUUCUGACCGCUGCUGUUGCUGCUGCUGAUGCUGUUGCUGUUGCUGCUGCUGAUGCUGCUGCUGAUGCAGCUGCUGAUGCUGCUGCAGCUGCUGAUGCUGCUGCUGAUGCUGCUGCUGCUGUUGCUGCUGCUGCUGCUGCUGCUGCUGCUGCUGCUGCAGUUGUUGUUCCGACAGCUCAACGACCGUAAUGCCGGCGUCCGGACUGCAGCCGAUC